AACCUCCGCAAUGUGAGAAAUCGCGACGGGGGGAUCCCAAGUGCCAUUCUUAACGGGAUGGCUUUUCUUAAGUGUAAAAAGCUUUUGGAAUAAGAGCUGGGCAAGACCGGUGCCAGCCGCCGCGGUAACACCGGCAGCUCUAGUGGUAGCUGUCUUUAUUGGGCCUAAAGCGUUCGUAGCCGGUUUGAUAAGUCACUGGUGAAAUCCUGUAGCUUAACUGUGGGAAUUGCUGGUGAUACUGUUGAACUUGAGGUCGGGAGAGGUUAGCGGUACUCCCAGGGUAGAGGUGAAAUUCUGUAAUCCUGGGAGGACCACCUGUGGCGAAGGCGGCUAACUGGAACGAACCUGACGGUGAGGGACGAAAGCUAGGGGCGCGAACCGGAUUAGAUACCCGGGUAGUCCUAGCCGUAAACGAUGCGGGCUUGGUGUUGGGAUGGCUUUUGAGCCGCUCCGGUGCCGAAGGGAAGCUGUUAAGUCCGCCGCCUGGGAAGUACGGUCGCAAGACUGAAACUUAAAGGAAUU
rnacentral:rRNA from 1 species